UACGAAGGGGGCUAGCGUUGCUCGGAAUUACUGGGCGUAAAGCGCACGUAGGCGGCUUUCUAAGUCGGGGGUGAAAUCCUGGAGCUCAACUCCAGAACUGCCCUUCGAUACUGGAGAGCUCGAGUCCGGGAGAGGUGAGUGGAACUGCGAGUGUAGAGGUGAAAUUCGUAGAUAUUCGCAAGAACACCAGUGGCGAAGGCGGCUCACUGGCCCGGUACUGACGCUGAGACGCGAAAGCGUGGGGAGCAAACAGG
rnacentral:rRNA from 1 species